rnacentral:rRNA from 1 species
GUCCACACGGUAAACGAUGAAUACUCGCUGUUGGCGAUAUAAUGUCAGCGGCCAAGCGAAAGCAUUAAGUAUUCCACCUGGGGAGUACGCCGGCAACGGUGAAACUCAAAGGAAUUGACGGGGGCCCGCACAAGCGGAGGAACAUGUGGUUUAAUUCGAUGAUACGCGAGGAACCUUACCCGGGCUUAAAUUGCACUGGACAGGCCAAGAGAUUGGCUUUUCUUCGGACCAGUGUGAAGGUGCUGCAUGGUUGUCGU